UACACCUUCUGAUUGGCUCAGAGCCCCGCCUUCCUCCCAGCCUUGGAGACAAAUUUCCCUUCUGAUUGGAUCAGAGCUUCGGCUUCCCUCCGCCCUUGGAGAUAGAUACUGUUUCUGAUUGGCAAAGAACCCAGUCUUCCCUCCGAUACUGGUGACAGUUACCCCUCUUGAUUAGCUCCGGAACCUAAAGCCCGCUUCAAUGGGAGGUACCAUGAGCUUCAAAUAAUGCACAGGAUGCUGGAGGAAGUUAUCUCCUCCUCCCACAGACUAAGAGAAGUGUUUUGAGAAAUAGAGGAGGAAAUUAAUACAGUGAGAAAGAUCCAAAGUGGAUUUUGUUACUUGAAUUUGAAACCAAAAUGAUGGGAUUGCCCUUGAAGAUCCAUAGGGGCUUAGGUUUCAGGCUUUCUACUUCCACAUUCUAGAAGGAUACAAAAGAGGAAAAAAAAGCACUCAAAACAUCUUUAACUUCCUUUAAACAAAGAUUUUUGUUUGAGGAGGAACUUGUUGGAGAACUGUACAGAGAAACUAGACACACAGGAACUCAUUGGGGCUCGAAGAAAUAAGACCUGCCUAAGUUAUCAUCAGGGGAUGGAACACAGGAAUUACCAUGCUGCAUCAGAACAGGGGUUCAGCUAGUCCAGUAUUCUGUCUGAAAGUGACCAGCUUCAGCUUGUUCAGUGGAAGAAGCCCUGUUGUAGGUAAAUAACUACAGGAACAACUAAACAUUUAGAAUCAGAUGAACUCAAACAGAUACACAAUUUCUGAAGACUCUUCUUACAUCUUAACAACAGAAGAUUAACAAAUUUCCAAGUAUUCUACAAAGCACUUUGGGGAAAUUGUUUUCAUUUCUUGAUUUAAUUUUACUUCUAAAUUUAGCUGAUAGUUGAGCUACAACAACAGAUGUUCUUCAAGCAAGCGCAGAAGAGAUUACUGAAAAGUAUUCUAGCAAAGGAUAUUUUGAUUUGCCUC